GUCCACUGCUUGGUUUUAAAUCGCGGUUUUAAAAAAUUCACAUGGAAUAACAUAAACAGGCACUGAAGGAAAUGUGAACUUUGGAUUCAUUCUGAUCCUCAUGGUAAAGAUGGUCAUAGGAGUGCUGUUGGUUGGAAGCAGAACCAGAGCCAUGGCUGUGUCUAGCCUAGCUGUGGCAACUUUGCAGGGUUUGGAAACCUUUUAGGUUGCACAUCCCACCUGGGGCCGAGGCUUCGUGUGGUGCAGCACCAGCUUCCACCUCCGCACCUCACGGCCUCGGGUUGUGGCCUCCCACCACAGAGUAGUGGGGCAAGGCCCAGCAGGCUCAGCAGCUGCCCUCCUCUCUCUGCCACGUCUUCUGCUGGAUCUGCCACAGCCAAACUGUUGACACAAGUCGCGUUUAUGACUUUCUGCCUUCCUCUCCCAACCCGUGCCUCUGAGGGGAGAGGAGUCCUGUUUGAAACCAGCGUGGUGUUAACAGCACGGGCAGAGGGAGAGGAGUAAAACCGAAUUAAAAAGUAAAAAAAAAAAAA